CCUGAGCUCAGGCAACAACC
rnacentral:rRNA from 1 species